AUGCCUGGAGGAGGGGCUCAAGGUCAUCCCUGGGAUGAGUUUGCCAGACAUUUUCCCUUCGUCACGUCUCGCCAUGCGCCUCAGCCGCGUGCCCGGACAGAUCAAGCGUCCCGUGCCGCCAUGCUCGGUUUCAUCGACACUAUCAUCAAGGAGCGCGAGAACAGAGACACCGCCGUUACCGGCAUCGAGGAACACGACGAGGACUUACUUGACAUGCUCCUGAGGCUCCAGAAGGACAUGGACUCCCAGUAUCCUCUCACCACCUUGAACAUCAAAACCGUUAUCAUUGACAUGUUUGCUGCUGGCAGCAAGACCUCGUCCACGAUGAUCCAUUGGGCGAUGGCCGAGCUGAUGCGUAACCCAACGGUGAUGCAAAAGGCGUGA
rnacentral:rRNA from 1 species